rnacentral:lncRNA from 1 species
UGGGUUUUCAUUAAAUUACAAAAAUCUCGAGUUCUCUAAAUUUCCCAUAUAUAAAAAAAGAAAAAGUCAAUAAACAAAAAUCUUACCGUGCAAGAUAAUUUGAUCUCAUUUAAUCGAUAUAAUCUAUCUUCAAGCUGCUUCUGCACUUCUCCUCUUUGUACAACCUUAUUAAUUUUCAUGUCCAGUAUCAAAUCCCUUUCUCUUAGCAUCUUCUCAGUCUUUUCCUUAUCUAGUCUCAGUCUCUCGAGCUUUUCUUGUAUGGCACUUAGCUCCUCUGCUAGCGAAGCAUCAAACGAUUCGACUAGAAAACACUCGGCCUUGAUAGGGGUGGCACAGUUGGAAGGAGCAAUAUUCCCCUUGUUGGAGUUGUCAUCCAGUGAGAUUUUAAUCUACUCCAGAUCUUGCUUUGGCUUUGGCUUUUCACUGGGAGCGAUUUAAGUGACCAGUGCAUUCUUGGGUUGUAAUGGUUUCCGGCCACUUUUUAGCAGUGGAACUGAUUGUUGGCCGGAGAGUGGAGAUUGAGCUGCUAAAAUUUUUUAUUUUGUUGUGGUUCAGUGGUGGGUCGUUGGGGAAGAAGAAUAAGGCUCCAUUUGAUUGGAUGAAUCUUCC